AGCAGUAGCCACGGUAAUACGGAGGGGGCUAGCGUUGUUCGGAAUUACUGGGCGUAAAGCGCACGUAGGCGGCUUGGUAAGUUAGAGGUGAAAGCCCGGAGCUCAACUCCGGAAUUGCCUUUAAGACUGCCGAGCUAGCAGGUGAGAGAGGUAAGUGGAAUUCCGAGUGUAGAGGUGAAAUUCGUAGAUAUUCGGAAGAACACCAGUGGCGAAGGCGGCUUACUGGCUCAUACUGGACGCUGAGGUGCGAAAGCGUGGGGAGCAAACAGGAUUAGAUACCCCUGUAGUCCCUGUCUCUUAUAC
rnacentral:rRNA from 1 species